GACGAACUGUCCUAACGUUGUUCGGAAUCACUGGGCUUAAAGGGCGCGUAGGCGGUCGAACAAGUCAGGGGUGAAAUCCUGCAGCUUAACUGUAGAAGUGCCUUUGAUACUGUUCGUCUUGAGGGAGAUAGGGGUGUGCGGAACUUCCAGUGGAGCGGUGAAAUGCGUUGAUAUUGGAAGGAACGCCGGAGGCGAAAGCGGCGCACUGGAUCUCUUCUGACGCUGAGGCGCGAAAGCUAGGGGAGCAAACGGG
rnacentral:rRNA from 1 species